ACGGGAGGCAGCAGUGGGGAAUAUUGGGCAAUGGGCGAAAGCCUGACCCAGCGACGCCGCGUGAGGGAAGAAGAUCUUCGGAUUGUAAACCUUUGUCAACAGGGACGAAGCAAGUGACGGUACCUGUGGAGGAAGCCACGGCUAACUACGUGCCAGCAGCCGCGGUAAUACGUAGGUGGCGAGCGUUAUCCGGAUUUACUGGGUGUAAAGGGUGUGUAGGCGGGGAGGCAAGUCAGAUGUGAAAACUAUGGGCUCAACCCAUAAAGUGCAUUUGAAACUGUUUCUCUUGAGUGUCGGAGGGGUAAAUGGAAUUCCCAGUGUAGCGGUGAAAUGCGUAGAUAUUGGGAGGAACACCAGUGGCGAAGGCGAUUUACUGGACGACAACUGACGCUGAGACACGAAAGCGUGGGGAGCAAACAGGAUUAGAUACCCUGGUA
rnacentral:rRNA from 1 species